UACGUAGGGUGCGAGCGUUGCCCGGAUUUAUUGGGCGUAAAGAGCGUGUAGGCGGCCAUGUAGGUCCGGUGUGAAAACUCGAGGCUUAACCUCGAGAUGUCAUCGGAAACCAUUUGGCUAGAGUCCGGAAGAGGAGAGUGGAAUUCCUGGUGUAGCGGUGAAAUGCGCAGAUAUCAGGAAGAACACCAAUGGCGAAAGCAGCUCUCUGGGACGGUACUGACGCUGAGACGCGAAAGCGUGGGGAGCGAACAGG
rnacentral:rRNA from 1 species